rnacentral:rRNA from 1 species
CCUGCGCUUAAUUGCGCGGCCAGUUCUUGAUUCUCUGCUAUCAGUUUUCUAUUUCUCAUCCUAAACACAAUGGAGUUUUUUCUCUAUGAACUACUUCCCUGGAGAGCUCGUCUCUCCAGUGGACAUAAACACAAACAAUAUUUUGUAUUAUGAAAAACUAUUAUACUAUAAAAUUUAAUAUUCAAAACUUUCAACAACGGAUCUCUUGGUUCUCGCAUCGAUGAAGAACGCAGCGAAUUGCGAUAUGUAUUGUGAAUUGCAGAUUUUCGUGAAUCAUCAAAUCUUUGAACGCACAUUGCGCCCUCUGGUAUUCCAGGGGGCAUGCCUGUUUGAGCGUCAUUUCUCUCUCAAACCUUUGGGUUUGGUAGUGAGUGAUACUCGUCUCGGGUUAACUUGAAAGUGGCUAGCCGUUGCCAUCUGCGUGAGCAGGGCUGCGUGUCAAGUCUAUGGACUCGACUCUUGCACAUCUACGUCUUAGGUUUGCGCCAAUUCGUGGUAAGCUUGGGUCAUAGAGACUCAUAGGUGUUAUAAAGACUCGCUGGUGUUUGUCUCCUUGAGGCAUACGGCUUUAACCAAAACUCUCAAAGUUUGACCUCAAAUCAGGUAGGAGUACCCGCUGAACUUAAGCAUAUCAUA